rnacentral:rRNA from 1 species
GAUGAACGCUGGCGGCGUGCUUAACACAUGCAAGUCGAACGAAACACCUCCCCCUCAGAUUGACUCAGCUUGCUGUAGAUUGAUUCAUUUGAGGUUACUGAGUCGCGUACGGUUGAGUAACGCGUGGGUAACCUGCCUCGUAGAGGCGGACAACAGUUGUAAACUACUGCUAAUACCGCACAGUAAGAAUAAUUCGCAUGUUUUCUUCUUGAAAGAUUUAUCGCUAUGAGAUGGACCCGCGUCUGAUUAGCUAGUUGGUAAGGUAACGGCUUACCAAGGCGACGAUCAGUAGCCGGCUUGAGAGACGGAACGGACACAUUGGGAGUGAGACAUGCCCCACACUCCGACGGGACGCAGUAGAGGUUGAUCCUGCACCAGGCGGGAAGUACAGAAAAAGCGACGGCGGGUGACUGAAGAAGUAAUUCGCUAAGCACAGAAGAAUCAGCAGUGGAGAGAAUGCCGGUACAUGAAAAAGAAGCCACCGAUAACUACGUG